rnacentral:rRNA from 1 species
GAUGAACGCUGGCGGCGUGCCUAAUACAUGCAAGUCGAGCGAACGGACGAGAAGCUUGCUUCUCUGAUGUUAGCGGCGGACGGGUGAGUAACACGUGGAUAACCUACCUAUAAGACUGGGAUAACUUCGGGAAACCGGAGCUAAUACCGGAUAAUAUUUUGAACCGCAUGGUUCAAAAGUGAAAGACGGUCUUUCUGUCACUUAUAGAUGGAUCCGCGCUGCAUUAGCUAGUUGGUAAGGUAACGGCUUACCAAGGCAACGAUGCAUAGCCGACCUGAGAGGGUGAUCGACCACACUGGAACUGAGACACGGUCCAGACUCCUACGGGAGGCAGCAGUAGGGAAUAUUCCGCAAUGGGCGAAAGCCUGACGGAGCAACGCCGCGUGAGAGAUGAAGGUCUUCGGAUCGUAAAACUCUGUUAUUAGGGAAGAACAUAUGUGUAAGUAACUGUGCACAUCUUGACGGUACCUAAUCAGAAAGCCACGGCUAACUACGUG